AUUGAACGCUGGCGGCAAGCCUAACACAUGCAAGUCGAACGAGUGGCGGACGGGUGAGUAAUGUCUGGGAAACUGCCUGAUGGAGGGGGAUAACUACUGGAAACGGUAGCUAAUACCGCAUACCAUCGGAUGUGCCCAGAUGGGAUUAGCUAGUAGGGGGGGUAAAGGCUCACCUAGGCGACGAUCCCUAGCUGGUCUGAGAGGAUGACCGGACAAACUGGAACGGAGACACGGUCCAAACUCCAACGGGCGGAAGCAGUGGGGAAUAUUGCACAAUGGGCGCAAGCCUAAUGCAGCCAUGCCGGGGGUAUGAAGAGGGCCUUCGGGUGGUAAGGUACUUUCAGCGGGGAGGCGUUACCCGCAGAAGAAGCACCGGCUAACUCCGUACCAGCAGCCGCGGUAAUUC
rnacentral:rRNA from 1 species